rnacentral:rRNA from 1 species
CCUACGGGAGGCUGCAGUGGGGAAUAUUGGACAAUGGGGGGAACCCUGAUCCAGCCAUGCCGCGUGUGUGAAGAAGGCCCUCGGGUUGUAAAGCACUUUCAGUGAGGAAGAACGCCUGGUGGUUAAUACCCAUCAGGAAAGACAUCACUCACAGAAGAAGCACCGGCUAACUCCGUGCCAGCAGCCGCGGUAAUACGGAGGGUGCGAGCGUUAAUCGGAAUUACUGGGCGUAAAGCGCGCGUAGGUGGCUUGAUAAGCCGGUUGUGAAAGCCCCGGGCUCAACCUGGGAACGGCAUCCGGAACUGUCAAGCUAGAGUGCAGGAGAGGAAGGUAGAAUUCCCGGUGUAGCGGUGAAAUGCGUAGAGAUCGGGAGGAAUACCAGUGGCGAAGGCGGCCUUCUGGACUGACACUGACACUGAGGUGCGAAAGCGUGGGUAGCAAACAGGAUUAGAGACCCGAGUAGUC